rnacentral:rRNA from 1 species
GACGAAGGGGGCUAGCGUUGUUCGGAAUUACUGGGCGUAAAGGGCGCGUAGGCGGUUUGUUAAGUCAGGCGUGAAAGCCCUGGGCUCAACCUGGGAGGUGCGCUUGAUACUGGCAAGCUUGAGUGCAGGAGAGGAUGGUGGAAUUCCCAGUGUAGAGGUGAAAUUCGUAGAUAUUGGGAAGAACACCGGUGGCGAAGGCGGCCAUCUGGACUGCAACUGACGCUGAGGCGCGAAAGCGUGGGGAGCAAACAGG